UGGGGAAUAUUGCACAAUGGGCGCAAGCCUGAUGCAGCCAUGCCGCGUGUAUGAAGAAGGCCUUCGGGUUGUAAAGUACUCUCAGCGAGGAGGAAGGCGGUAAGGUUAAUAACCUUAUCGAUUGACGUUACUCGCAGAAGAAGCACCGGCUAACUCCGUGCCAGCAGCCGCGGUAAUACGGAGGGUGCAAGCGUUAAUCGGAAUUACUGGGCGUAAAGCGCACGCAGGCGGUCUGUCAAGUCGGAUGUGAAAUCCCCGGGCUCAACCUGGGAACUGCAUUCGAAACUGGCAGGCUAGAGUCUUGUAGAGGGGGGUAGAAUUCCAGGUGUAGCGGUGAAAUGCGUAGAGAUCUGGAGGAAUACCGGUGGCGAAGGCGGCCCCCUGGACAAAGACUGACGCUCAGGUGCGAAAGCGUGGGGAGCAAACA
rnacentral:rRNA from 1 species